rnacentral:rRNA from 1 species
AUUGAACGCUGGCGGCAUGCUUUACACAUGCAAGUCGAACGGCAGCACGAAAGAGCUUGCUCUUUUGGUGGCGAGCGGCGAACGGGUGAGUAAUGCAUCGGAACGUACCGAGUAAUGGGGGAUAACUAUCCGAAAGGAUAGCUAAUACCGCAUACGCUUUGAGAAGGAAAGUGGGGGCUCUUCGGACCUCACGUUAUUCGAGCGGCCGAUGUCUGAUUAGCUAGUUGGUGGGGUAAAGGCCUACCAAGGCGACGAUCAGUAGCGGGUCUGAGAGGAUGAUCCGCCACACUGGGACUGAGACACGGCCCAGACUCCUACGGGAGGCAGCAGUGGGGAAUUUUGGACAAUGGGCGCAAGCCUGAUCCAGCCAUGCCGCGUGUCUGAAGAAGGCCUUCGGGUUGUAAAGGACUUUUGUUAGGGAAGAAAAGGAUAGUGUUAAUACCAUUAUCUGCUGACG